AAUCAACGCUGGCGGCGUGCCUCAGACAUGCAAGUCGAACGAUUAAAGCUCUCUUCGGAGAGUGCAUAGAGUGGCGCACGGGUGAGUAACACGUAAGUAAUCUACCUUCGAGUGGGGAAUAACGUCCGGAAACGGACGCUAAUACCGCAUAAUGCAGCGGCAUCGUAAGAUGACAGUUGUUAAAGAUUUAUCGCUUGAAGAGGAGCUUGCGGCAGAUUAGCUAGUUGGUAAGGUAAUGGCUUACCAAGGCUACGAUCUGUAACCGGUCUUAGAGGACGGUCGGUCACACUGACACUGAAUAACGGGUCAGACUCCUACGGGAGGCAGCAGUCGGGAAUUUUGGGCAAUGGGCGAAAGCCUGACCCAGCAACGCCGCGUGAAGGGAUGGAGUAUUUUCGGUAUGUAAACUUCGAAAGAAUAGGAAGAAUAAAUGACGGUACUAUUUAAUAAGUCCGGCUAACUACGUGCCAGCAGCCGCGGUAAU
rnacentral:rRNA from 1 species